rnacentral:rRNA from 1 species
UACGAAGGGUGCAAGCGUUAAUCGGAAUUACUGGGCGUAAAGCGUGCGCAGGCGGUUCUGCAAGUCAGAUGUGAAAUCCCCGGGCUCAACCUGGGAACUGCGUUUGAAACUACAGAGCUAGAGUAUGGGAGAGGGAGGUAGAAUUCCACGUGUAGCAGUGAAAUGCGUAGAGAUGUGGAGGAAUACCAAUGGCGAAGGCAGCCUCCUGGCCUAAUACUGACGCUCAUGCACGAAAGCGUGGGGAGCAAACAGG